rnacentral:rRNA from 1 species
UACGGAGGGAGCUAGCGUUGUUCGGAAUUACUGGGCGUAAAGCGCACGUAGGCGGCUUUGUAAGUUAGAGGUGAAAGCCCGGGGGCUCAACUCCGGAACUGCCUUUAAGACUGCAUCGCUUGAAUCCGGGAGAGGUGAGUGGAAUUCCGAGUGUAGAGGUGAAAUUCGUAGAUAUUCGGAAGAACACCAGUGGCGAAGGCGGCUCACUGGACCGGGUACUGACGCUGAGGCGCGAAAGCGUGGGG